GACGUAGGGCGCGAGCGUUGUCCGGAUUUAUUGGGCGUAAAGAGCUCGUAGGCGGCUUGUCGCGUCGUCCGUGAAAACUUGGGGCUCAACCCCAAGCUUGCGGUCGAUACGGGCAGGCUCGAGUUCGGUAGGGGAGACUGGAAUUCCUGGUGUAGCGGUGAAAUGCGCGGAUAUCAGGAGGAACACCGGUGGCGAAGGCGGGUCUCUGGGCCGAAACUGACGCUGAGGAGCGAAAGCGUGGGGAGCGAACAGG
rnacentral:rRNA from 1 species